GAAUAGCCACUUGAAACGGGGAGUAAUACCGUAUGAGCCCUUCGGGGGAAAGAUUUAUCGGCAAAGGAUCGGCCCGCGUUGGAUUAGGUAGUUGGUGGGGUAAUGGCCUACCAAGCCUACGAUCCAUAGCUGGUUUUAGAGGAUGAUCAGCCACACUGGGACUGAGACACGGCCCAGACUCCUACGGGAGGCAGCAGUGGGGAAUCUUAGACAAUGGGGGCAACCCUGAUCUAGCCAUGCCGCGUGAGUGACGAAGGCCUUAGGGUCGUAAAGCUCUUUCGCCUGUGAUGAUAAUGACAGUAGCA
rnacentral:rRNA from 1 species